GAAAUGUGUCUGCUGAAGUCCUAAACCUG
rnacentral:piRNA from 1 species